AUCUCUUUGUCUCUCUGGCCGCCUCUGCCUCCAUCUCUGUGUGUCUGCGUCUUCGUCCCUGUCUCUGAGUUUCGGCUUGGGUGUCUCUCUCCUACCCCGGUCUCUCUGUGUCCUGUCUGUCUCUGCCUCUCCUGUCCCUCUCUCCGCAGCGCCCUCCCCGUCUCUGUCUCUCUGAGUCCCUAGCUCGCUCCUUCUCUAAAUCUGUGUCCCUAUAGCCCCCUGCGUCUCUCUGACUCUCCCUGCAUCUCCCUCCCCUGUCUGUGAAUUUCUCUGUGUCCAUCUUCUGUCCUCUCCCUCCGGUCCCUGGCUCCCUGCCGUGCUUCCUCUGGUCCCGAGUCUCCCCUUCAUCUCCCGCCUGGCCCUCCUCCCUGUGGCCACCUCCUCCCUGCGGCCUCUCGGGGCAGGGUGGGCGCCUGGGCGUGCUGCGCGCGCCCUCAUGUGGCCGGCAGACGCUGCGUGUGAGCGCCAAAAGGGGAGUGCUGGGGAGCGGGGGACGCUGGUGUUCGCGGUGACACUGGGAAAUGGCGUGUGACACCUGGAGGCUGUGUGAGUGUGUACUGCCGGGAGACGGCGUGAGACAUCUGGAGAGUGUGUGAGUGUGUACUGCCGUGAUGGUGUGUGACUCCAGGAGAUCUGUGAGUGUGUACUGCUGUGAGAUGGUGUACGACGCCAGGAAACUGUGUGAGUGUCGACUGCCGUGAGAUGGUGUGCAGUGCCAGGACCAGGACACCAUGAGUGUGUACUGCCAUGAUGGUGUACUGGUGAGAUGGUGUGUGGUGCUGGGAGUCUGUGUGUGACUGAUUGAUAUGAGAUUAUGUGCGACAAGGAGAGACUGAGUGGGACUGCAUAUGUCAGAGAUGACAUGUCGCUGACUGUGUGUGACACUGAGAUUACUGGUGAUGCUGAGAGAUUGUGGGUGACUGUGUGUGCUGAUGAAAGGUUAUGUGUGAUCGGGUGUGGGAGAGACACUCUUUGGGGCUCUGUAUGGGACAUUGAGAGACCGUAUGUGGGAGUGAGAGACCGUGUGUGACGGUGCGUGUGAGGGGGCAGUGUGUGUGGCUGUGUGCAACAUGGUGAGCAUACGGUGCUGUGUGUGUCACACAAGUAGAUUCUGUGUGAGAGAGAGUGAGACUGAUGACUGAUGUACACUGAGAGGUGGUGUGGGCAGGUGUCAUGAGAGGCACAUAGGGGGCCUGGGUGGGACAGACACAGUGAGUGUCAGUCUGUGUUGGCCACUCUGUGUAUGGCUUGUGAAAAAGUGCGUGAUCCGGGCACAUUGCUGUAAUCCCAGCACUUUGGGUGGCUGAGGCGGGAGGAUCCCUUGAGGCCAGGAGUUUGAGAUCAGCCUGGGCAACAUAGGGAGACCCCUCCCCCCACCCCCGCCGUCUCUACCAAAAUAAAAAUAAAAGAAAUUAACCAGGUGCGGUUAUGUACCUCUGUGGUCCCAGCUACUGGGAGGCUGAGGUUGGAGGAUCGCUUGAGCCUGGGAAGUGGAGGCUGCAGUGAGCUAAGAUCGCGCCACUGCACUCCAGCCUGGGUGACAGAGAGAGAGACCUUGUCUCAAAAAACAAAACAAAACUGCGUGACUAUGUGUGACACUGAGCUGGUGAGAGAUGGCAGCGUUGUGACAGUGCAUGCGAGAGUUUGCGGCUGUGCAGGGCACUCGGAAGCGAGAGCGUGAGGGAGGCCUUGUGUGUAGAAGGCAAGAGAUGAUGGAGAGGUGGGAGUGAGUGUGUGAAACGCUGCGAGCUUGUGUGGGACUCUGUGAGACACUGAGCCAUCGUGGGUAGCUAGGUAUGACACCAGGAGAUGGGUUGCGUGCGUGUGUGUGACAGGGACAGACUGUGUAUGGAGGGAAUGUGUCAGAUGCGUGUGACACCAGGAGACUGUGAGAGAAUGUAUGUGACCUUCCAUGGUUGUCACUGGACAGGCGACUGGGUGUUACUAUGAAAUACUAUAAAACAGUGUGUACUUGACAGGUUGUAUUGGGUAAUUGCAUGCCACCGUGAGACACAGAAAGUGUGAGACUGGGACAGGGUGUGAGAUUGAGAGAGUUUAAAUGGCAUGCAAGGCCAGGCGCGGUGGCUCACGCCUGUAAUCCCAGCACUUUGGGAGGCCGAGGCGGGUGGAUGACCUGAGGUCAGGAGUUCAAGACCAGCCUGGCCAACAUUGUGAGACCCUGUCUCUACGAAAAAUACAAAAAUCAGACGGGCGUGGUGUCAGGCACCUGUAAUCCCAGCUACUCAGGAGGCUGAGGCAGGAGAAUGGCUUGAACCCAGGAGGCGGAGGUUGCAGUGAGCUGAGAUUGGGCCACUGCACUCCAGCCUGGGCAACACAGCGAGACUUCAUCUC
rnacentral:lncRNA from 10 species